GAACAGCCACCGGCUGUAUCAUACAGCUGGGUGAGUAAAGUGGCGUACGGGUGAGUAACACGUAGCUAACCUACCCUUCAGUGGGGGAUAACCUGUGGAAACUCGGGCUAAUACCGCAUAACCUCUUAGUUGCACAAGCAGCAGAGAGCAAAAGUCCGCAAUGAUCGCUGAAGGAGGGGGCUGCGGCCGAUUAGCUAGUUGGCGGGGUAACGGCCCACCAAGGCGAUGAUCGGUAGCCGGCCUGAGAGGGCGCACGGCCACACUGGCACUGAAAUACGGGCCAUACUCCUACGGGAGGCAGCAGUGGGGAAUUUUGCACAAUGCCCGAAAGGGUGAUGCAUCAACGCCGCGUGAGGGAUGAAGGCCUUCGGGUCGUAAACCUCUUUCGACCGGGAAAAACGGGCUGGUGAAUAGCCAGCUCUGAUGGUACCGGUGGAAGAAGCCCCGGCUAACUACGUGCCAGCAGCCGCGGUAAU
rnacentral:rRNA from 1 species